ACUUGGGUGCAGGCGGUUCAGCUUCAGAAAGCUGGGGGUGGGGCAGGCGGGUGACACAUGCUCCUCUGGGAGUGGGAUAAAUAAUCUUCAGCUGCAACAAUAAAGAUCAAUUAUGACCUAAUCACUCCGCCCGAUUCCAAAAGCCCAGGGGGUGGGCCUCGCCCUUCCUCUCCCUCCAGGUUUAAUUAUCUGAAGAGUCUUGGACUUUCAUUUCUUGUUUUUUGCUUGUUUGCUUGUUUGUUUGCACCUGGUUGAUGUAUAAGUCUUGGACUUUGGGAGACCCAAAAGAGAAGGAAGGUGUUGGCAAUAUCCUUGAAGAGACUAAAAGAACUCAGAACAACACUGAACAAGCCAGCAGAGCCAUCAACUCACCCCUACAGUCUCCAUACACAGACUCCAUGAAAGCAUUGGCCAUCAGCUCUCACUGGUGUGGAUAUGUCACCAGUGGGGUAGAGUUGUUCCUCUCUCUGACACUGUAUUAGUCCAUUCUCACACUGCUAUUAAAAAACAAACAAACAAACUUGAGAUUGG
rnacentral:lncRNA from 1 species